GUGGCAGCAUCUCGGUCACUUACCACAAGGAAACAAUGAGUUUCAAACUACUUCUAUACAUCAAAAGAGUACAUGGAUAAAAUAUAGAGAUAUACAGACAAUUGAUGAACAUAAACUACUAGGCUUGUUACAUCUAAAUGAAAAAAAAAAUGGGGACUCUCAGCCUCUGCAAGAAGCAGUAGGGAGCUGUGUGAGUGAAAAGGCAGGAGUGGACCGGUUGUGUGACAGCAGAGGGAGUCUGAGUUGUGGAAGACAUCGUCAUCGAGAACCAGGCCUGAAGGCCCACCUGUAAGGGUUGUAAACGUGGAUUCACAGUGUGAAAUUCUGAGCGUUUUCACUUGAGUCAGAAUGAUUAAAAACUGGUUUGAUGAUACCUAUUUGUCCACUGUAAAUUCUCUAAAGCAAGGCUCAGAGUCCCAUAGUUUCUUCUUAUACUUGAUGAUUUACACAGAAAAAAAUCCCAUAUAUGAUACCAUGACCUCAUCAAUACCCAUACACCAUAUGUAAUACAAAUGGAGGUGUUAACGAUUAAAAAGAGUGGAGGUAACUGAUGCCUGGGGAGUGGAGUUCACUGCUGCCAAGUGGAGUCAGGGAGGCAGCCUCAAUCUUGUCAUCCUUCUUGCGGUUCACCUCCUUGGGGACAGGAAGGCUUCCCUGAAAAGCAGGUGGACCCACACACAAACAGAUGGACACACACACACACACAAAAGGCACUUAGUCAUGCUUGUGAAACCAUUUGAAUUUUUUUGCCUCUCCCUCCCGCCUUUUAUCCUUGAACUCCCGAUGUUUUGCAGAGUUUACAUAUUAAACACAGUUCACCUGAAUGUAAACAUUAGGUCUGUGGGGGCAUGAAGUAAUUAAACACUAGCUGCCUUGGCUUCAGUAGAAUCAAGUGCUUCUCUGAUGGCUGUGCCCAGCCAUGUGGGAGGCAGCAUUCCCCAGAGUCAGGUUUCUGAGGACAGUUUCUAGUAUCAGACAGGGCCCAACAUGAGGUUGGGUAAGAGGUGCUCAUGAGCGUUAAUACAUUUUGCUUAAAGCAUUCAAUGGCUGUGGAGGUGGGUAAUUGCCUGUUUGACAACAUAUAAUAAAAAAAUGUUUAAAAGAAUAUCACAGCUUGUACAGAUGUAAUUUAUGUAUGGUUCAUUCUCUGAACACCUGGCCCAGUCCAUGUGGGUCUGAUAAUCAGAAUCACAAGCGGUACCAAAGGUGGGAGUGGGAAAGAGGGAGACAGUGUGAAACCCAGGCCAGGAGAGAGUGAGAUCAGCGAGUUUGGCCUGGGGCUAUUCUAAAUCUGUCCUCACAAGCCUGAUAAGUGAGGUGUUUGUGCUUCUGUCUAGAAUAAUCCAACUGCAAUGUGACUGAUGCUCCAUCAAGCACCCGCGAGGAGAAGCUCUCCAUCAUAACCAAACAGCAAGAGGGCAGGUCAAGGAAGCCCAUUUGCCCAAGGUGUAAUUGAAAAAUACAGGGCUAACCCCGUAUGCCCCAAUCAGAUACGAAAAUAGUGAUUUGACAACAGUCUGUCUGUCGGCCAAACCAUUAAUUGCUGUAGUUGUCUCAGGUACAUUAUCCAAUAUGGUUUUAAGAGAUUUUUUUUUUUCCCUUUUUGCUCAGGUGACAUAUUCCAAUAGGACAUUUAUAACAAGCUAUUUUGACUGGAUAUGAGUAAAGUAAU
rnacentral:lncRNA from 1 species